rnacentral:rRNA from 1 species
CAGCAGCCGCGGGAAUACGUAGGUGGCAAGCGUCGUCCGGAAUUAUUGGGCGUAAAGCGCGCGCAGGUGGUUUAAUAAGUCUGAUGUGAAAGCCCACGGCUCAACCGUGGAGGGUCAUUGGAAACUGUUAAACUUGAGUGCAGGAGAGAAAAGUGGAAUUCCUAGUGUAGCGGUGAAAUGCGUAGAGAUUAGGAGGAACACCAGUGGCGAAGGCGGCUUUUUGGCCUGUAACUGACACUGAGGCGCGAAAGCGUGGGGAGCAAACAGGAUUAGAUACCCCUGUAGUCCCUGUCUCUUAUAC